ACCUCCGUCGUGUCGCUCAGUCGUCGGUCAGCCUUCAAGCGCGUGGUGUCUCCGAUCGACUCGAGCAAAUCCAGAUGCAGGGCCGAAGGGUGUAGCUCUUUGAUUUACUUAUCGCCAUUGAAAUUCAAUGAAGUAAAACCGAUAUAAUUAUAUAAUUAAAAAUAAAUCAAUUCAUUCAAAAUGGCUUCGACAAGACCCGACGAGAAGACUCCACUCUUGAAGGAAUCAACUACGAACAAAAUUUCGGACGGCGUCGAGAAAGGACCUCAGCCCGAACAAACAUCAUGUGGCGCCAAAUUUAAACGAUACUUGUCGAAUGUUACGGUCGAACCAGCCCUUCUCCUGCACUCCCUGUCCUACGCGGUGGAGGGCGUGUUCAAGACCAACAUGAUUGUGGACAAGACCUGUUCCAUCGAGUUGGGGUACGAUGGCGACGUGUGUACCAACCUGGACUCUGGGAACUACAAGGCGCAGCAGGACACCGUUCAGCAGAUCACCAACAAGUACAACAUGUACAGCUUGUGGAUAGAGAUGGGACCCGCCGUCUUCGUGCUCGCCUUCCUGGGGAUGUGGAGCGACAGACGCAGCCGCCGCCUGCCUCUGCUCCUGCCGAUGGUGGGGUCGACCCUGAAGGCCUUGGGCCUCAUGGCCAACGCGUACUUCUGGUCCCUCCAGCCCUACUUCAUCCUGCUCUCCUACAUCCCCUACGGCCUGUCGGGCAGCAUGAUGGGCGCCUUCAUGGCCGCAUACGCGUACAUCGGCGACACGUCCGGCUCUCGCUCGAGGACGACGCGUCUGUCCCUCGCCGGCGUAACGAUGUUCGCCGCCUCCCCCGUCGGGAACGCCCUCGGGACCCUGCUCUUCCGGUACGGCAGCUACACGCUCGUCUUCGGGGUCGAGUUCGUCGUUUCGGCUCUCUCCGCUGUCUACGUCGUCCUGCGGUUCGACGACAAGCCACCGCAGGGCGCGACGGAGGGCGGGGACCAGAGGAUUUUCUCGCUGGACACCAUCAAGUCGACGUUGCGGGUCGUGUUCAAGGAGCGACCGGGGCAGGGGCGUCGGCAGAUCCUGGGCCACAUUGCUUGCAUCUGUCUCUACGUCAUGUCGUAUGGCGGAACGUCUUUCCUGUUUCUUUACACCCGAAAGAAGUUCCAGUGGGAUUACUUGGACUACACUCUCUAUAGCAUGUUCACUACUCUAGUUACAGUCUUUGGCACCUGCGUCGUGUUGCCAAUCCUGAGUUACCGCCUGAAAAUGGAAGAUGGGAUGAUAGCCUUUAUAUCCAGUUCUUUGCACAUCUUUUACGGCGUGAUGGUGGGCACAGCUCCGGCGGCCUGGGUGCUGUAUUUAGUGUGCGUCCUCAGCCGUGGCAGUGACCAGAAUAACCUCCUUCGCCAUUUCGUGUUCGCGCGGCGCCCUGUCCAAGCUGGUGGCGCCGGACGAACUGGGCGCCGUGUUCUCCGUCAUCGGGAUGGGCGAGUCCCUCCUGCCCGUCCUGAUCAUGCCCCUUAACACCGCCAUCUACAAUAGCACUCUCGACGUCUUCCCUGGCACGGUCUUCCUCUUCGAGGCUGGCACUGGCGUGGUCAUCGCUGUUAUCUAUGUGUGGCUGUUGACCAGUUUCGAAAACCCGAAGGACAAGGAACAAGCGGUUUGAAUCGUAUCACCGUCGUUAUACAGGGUUCCUUCCAAUCUAUUCUUAAUUGUAUAUAGUGUCAAAGGUAGUGAUGAUCCACUCGUAGCUAGAGAGAGAGAGAGAGAGAGAGAGAGAAAGAGAAGAGAGAGAGAGAGAGAAAGAGCGAGAGAGAGAGUAUGUAUUUUAAUUGUGUUACAAUUCUGAAGCUCUGUAGUGCCAUGAAGCUAGGAUGAAAGAUGUUUCUGGCAUUGUUUCGAAACUAGUCAAGAGUUCUGUUUAUGAACAGCGUUUAAUUAUACACGUCUGUGUGUGUGUGUGUGUGUGUGUGUGUGUGUGUGUGUGUGUGUGUGUGUGUUGUGUGUGUGUGUGUGUGUGUGUGUGUGUGUGUGUGUGUGUGUGUGUGUGUGUGUGCGUGUGUGUGUGUGUGUGUGAGACAGAACAGACCAAGUCUGCUUACCUCAUUUCUGUAAUGGAUAUUCUUUCCCCUAAUGUGUAUGUAUAACAAAGUUAUGUCAUGCUAUGUUCUCAUUAUAAAGAGGCCUAGCCACUGCUUAAGUAAAUAUAUAUGUGUGCACAAAUUUAUUAAUAAAAACGU
rnacentral:misc_RNA from 1 species